rnacentral:rRNA from 1 species
GUAGGGGUUCUGAGAGGAAGGUCCCCCACAUUGGAACUGAGACACGGUCCAAACUCCUACGGGAGGCAGCAGUGAGGAAUAUUGGUCAAUGGGCGAGAGCCUGAACCAGCCAAGUAGCGUGUGGGAAGAAUGCCCUAUGGGUUGUAAACCACUUUUGCAGGAGGGUAAAAUGCUUCACGUGUGGAGUAUUGCAAGUACCCUGCGAAUAAGGACCGGCUAAUUCCGUGCCAGCAGCCGCGGUAAUACGGAAGGUCCAGGCGUUAUCCGGAUUUAUUGGGUUUAAAGGGAGCGUAGGCGGGGAGUCAAGUCAGUUGUGAAAAGCCACGGCCCAACCGUGGUCGUGCAGUUGAAACUGGUUCUCUUGAGUGCGCACGAGGACGGUGGAAUUCGUGGUGUAGCGGUGAAAUGCUUAGAUAUCACGAAGAACUCCGAUUGCGAAGGCAGCCGUCCGGAGCGUUACUGACGCUGAGGCUCGAAGGUGCGGGUAUCAAACAGGAUUAGAUACCCUGGUAGUCCGCACAGUAAACGAUAGGUGCCGGCUGUCGGCGACAGAAUGUCGGUGCCACG